AGGACGAACGCUGGCGGCGUGCUUAACACAUGCAAGUCGAGCGGAAAGGCCCUUCGGGGUACUCGAGCGGCGAACGGGUGAGUAACACGUGAGCAACCUGCCCUUAGCUCCGGGAUAGCUCCGGGAAACCGGAAUUAAUACCGGAUACGACCACGGCCGACAUCUGCUGUGGUGGAAAGGAUUCCGGCUAAGGAUGGGCUCGCGGCCUAUCAGUCUAGGUUGGUGGAGUAACGGCCCACCAAGGCGACGACGGGUA
rnacentral:rRNA from 1 species